ensembl:snRNA U1 U1 spliceosomal RNA
ACACCUCAGAGACAGAGAUGCCAUUGCCAUGAAGGUUGCCUUCCAAAGGUGAGGCCCAUUCAGCGUGCUCUGUCUGUCCUGACCCUGGCAGUCUGCAAAUGUGGGAAACUUCAGUGCAUAAUCUGUGGUAGUUAGUACUGUGUUUACUCAGGCUCC